AACGAACGCUGGCGGCAUGCCUAACACAUGCAAGUCGAACGGGACCAUCGGAUCUUGUUGCGCACGGGUGCGUAACGCGGGGGAAGCUGCCCGUAGGCACCGAAUAUCUCCGCGUAGGGGGAGCUAAUGCAGGCUAAGGUCUUCGGACCUAAGAUUUGUCGACUUUGGUUGGGCAGGCGAUGGAUGGGUUAGGCGGUAGGGUAAAAGCCUCCCAGGGCGACGAUAGCUAGCUGGUCUGAGAGGAUGAUCAGCCACACUGGGAGUGAGACACGGCCCAGACUCCUACGGGAGGGAGCAAUGGGGAAUAUUGGAAAAUGGGCGGAAGCCUGAUCGAGUUAUGGCGCGUGAGUGAUGAAGGCCUUAGAGUUGUAAAGCUCUUUUAACCGGCAUGAUAAUGACCGUACCGGAAGAAUAAGCUCCGGCUAACUCCGUG
rnacentral:rRNA from 1 species